rnacentral:sRNA from 1 species
UUCUAGCCCGGAUAGGAACGGCAUCCUUUAUUUUUGGCGGGAGCGAAGCUCCCGCCAAAAAUAAAGAUAUAGUGGAUAGCCGGAUCAAGC